AUUAAGAAUAAUAACAGUAGUUAAAUGUAGUUGUUAUAAAAACUCUAAAGUUAAGCGUGCUCGAUCGAGAGUAGUACCAUGAUGGGUGACCAUCUGGGAAGUUGUGUUAAGUUUAGCG
rnacentral:rRNA from 1 species